ACUCAAAUGUGGGGCACACUUCUGGAUUAUGCGUAGAAAGUGCUACUACUUUUGGGUGU
rnacentral:pre_miRNA from 1 species